AUUGAACGCUGGCGGCAUGCUUUACACAUGCAAGUCGAACGGUAACAGGCCGCAAGGUGCUGACGAGUGGCGAACGGGUGAGUAAUGCAUCGGAACGUGCCCAGUCGUGGGGAUAACGCAGCGAAAGCUGCGCUAAUACCGCAUACGAUCUCUGGAUGAAAGCGGGGGACCGAAAGGCCUCGCGCGAUUGGAGCGGCCGAUGUCAGACUAGGUAGUUGGUGGGGUAAAGGCCCACCAAGCCAACGAUCUGUAGCUGGUCUGAGAGGACGACCAGCCACACUGGGACUGAGACACGGCCCAGACUCCUACGGGAGGCAGCAGUGGGGAAUUUUGGACAAUGGGCGCAAGCCUGAUCCAGCAAUGCCGCGUGCAGGAAGAAGGCCUUCGGGUUGUAAACUGCUUUUGUACGGAACGAAAAGGCUCUGGUUAAUACCUGGGGCUCAUGACGGUACCGUAAGAAUAAGCACCGGCUAACUACGUGCCAGCCGCCGCCGUAAAAC
rnacentral:rRNA from 1 species